UGAAAAAUGACAACACAGGAAGGUUAAAAUAGUCAGCCAUGAUAUAAACACUACUAAAGCCAGCAGUCACAUAUGGUAUAUUACCAAUGCAGAUGAAUUUAAUGAAAACUGAGAUCAGCUCAUACAUCUGUCAUCAACCAAAUCUACAAAAUAUUUUCCUCAGAAAAUGAAAUGUAAUUAUGUAAGUGCUCAUGUCUAAUAGAGUUCUAACAGCUUCAAAUGAUAAAACUAGUGCUGGUUUAAUGCAUUUUGUGAGCUAAUGUUAACCAAACAGACCAUUCCUAUGACUAUUACCUCAAAGAGAACAGAUUGCAUGAUAGGUCAUAAUCAAGCACACAUCCUUAGAUUAACAGCUCCAAAGUACUGAGCACUUCUAUAAGUCACCCUGUAAUGCAAAACCAAGUGUGAUUUGUCACCUCACUUCAAUCUCCAUUGCAGCUAAGAUAGUAAGCGUGGAAUUUUUCAAGCUUCAUAGGAGGAGUAUUAAAACGGAUAAUGAUAGCAUGCAUUUUAAAGAAUAAUUCUCAGCACUUGCCAAGUCAUGCUCUCUGAGGUAUCUGUAAGUGUGGGAGGGAUGCAUGCUUUCAAGGGGGCCUGUGUUUCAUGGUCAUCUCAGGCAGGGGGCUGCAAAGUUCAUUAAAUGAUCUUAUCUCACUACUGCUUCUGUUCAAAAUAACCUUGAUAUGAUGAAGGAUUUAUGUUACCUCCACUUCAAAUAAGAGUACCGAGGGAUGCAUUUCAUUACUGUCCUGUGACACUGGAGAAGCCAGGGCUGCUGUGGCAAUAUUUUUCAUUUGUUUGUGUCAUAAAGAGGAUUUACUUGCAGGAAGAGCUUGACUCCUGAGAAAAUGAAUAGUCAAUAUAUACGUCAUGAAGUGCGAGGAUGUGAAACUAGCAACCUGAGAAACUUCUGGGAAAAGACAAUUGAACAACAAACUCGGUACCUGCAAGUUGAAAAAGAACGUCAGCAAAAAAGUGCUCUGACAAAGCUCAGAAAUGAAUGGAUGGAGAGGCUCGAAAAACGAAUAAAGAUGUUGAGGACCCAACCUGAAGACGCAUCUAGUUGAAGAUCCCACACUCACUGCUUGUAUAGAAAGAGAAUGAAAUUGUUUUGCGGGAGAGUAUGACAAUGGGAUGCAAAAAUGAAGAAAUCACUCUUGUAAUAAGCUUUCCUUUUCAUCUCACAUGAUCCUUCUUCUCAUCUACUAAGUCAAAAUGAAGAAAAUCUAUCAGCAGCCAGGAAAACAAAUGCCAGGAAAAAAUUAUUUUAAAGUAUGAUGUGCCCCACUCCCUGCCCAGUUUUCCUUCAUUGUACAUUUUGUAUGGUUAUGUCAUAUGAGGAUGCAUAAGGAAUAAGUCUCUAUCAAGACAGAAUAUAACAAAAUCAUAUCUUAAAUUGAUAACAAGGAACUCGUUUUGUACAGAAUGUUUCUUUUCCAGCUGGAGGUCAGGAGGGGUUCUAAGAAGACAUUUCCAAAAUUAAAUCACUUUUGUUCUGAGCUCUGCAAUUUCAUCUUUAAUGGUUAGAUGAAUUAUUUCAGGUUCCACAGUACUAGAUUCAGAACACAGGGCCAUGUAAUCUUUAUUUAUCUAGGUGCUAGUAACACAUUUCAAUAAAACCUUGAUCACUUUUGCA
ensembl:lncRNA